rnacentral:lncRNA from 1 species
AUGGAAUAGGUUUGAAACACCUACAACUUUUAUGAAGUAAUGUUUCUCAUUUGAAGUCCAUAGAAAAUGUUAUUCAAGGUGGGAGAAAUGAACAUUUGACUUGGGACUUAGAAAAUUUUUAAAUAUGUUUGAUUCCCAAACUUCCACCUCAAAGUUAAUCAUGAUACAAGAUUCAAAUAAACAAUUGUUCAACAUGAAAGUUGUUCCCCUUGAUCUCAC